GGGGCUGCAAUGGUUUCGACGGGGCAUGAGGAGGGUGACUGAAGCCUGCUCGGUGAGAGCAAACCCGUAACUGCGAACAACAUCGUUCGUUUCUCCCGUCAAGCAGCCCCUGUUGCUGCCUGACCCUUAGGGGAGAUGGGGUGAAGUCAGCCUUAUCACCCAAAUGACUCAUGGGGGCUGGAAGGCCCCCUCAACC
rnacentral:tmRNA from 1 species